UACGAAGGGGGCUAGCGUUGUUCGGAAUUACUGGGCGUAAAGCGCGCGCAGGUGGUCCUUCAAGUCAGGGGUGAAAGCCCAGAGCUCAACUCUGGAACUGCCUUUGAGACUGAGGGACUUGGGUACGGGAGAGGUGAGUGGAAUUCCGAGUGUAGAGGUGAAAUUCGUAGAUAUUCGGAAGAACACCAGUGGCGAAGGCGGCUCACUGGCCCGUUACCGACACUCAGGCGCGAUAGCGUGGGGAGCAAACAGG
rnacentral:misc_RNA from 1 species